ACAGCCUUUGGGUGGCUUAGCUGCGACAGAAUCGGAAAAACUGGGGGCUUAUUUUAUUUUAAAAAUCACGACAUAUUAGACAGCGAGAAAGCGGGAGUGACAAUCAGCAAAGUCUGAAGAUUAAUGUCUGGGAAAAUGUUGCCGUGAUCUUCGUCACAGAGCUCCCUUGUCUACACUCGACAGUUUUGGGGACUCCCUCAAUGAGCUCACAGCUCCCAAAGUGGAGUCCAGAGGCAAAGCAAGAUGUGGAAUGACAACCCAACAAAGUGUUAAAGGGGCUGUGAUGAAAACAGCUAUGCUCUAGCAAAGAAGCUUGGAAAGAAUUAAAAGCUGAGCGCAAGCUGGAAGGUCAGUGGAAAGAGAAUGUAUAAAGGAGUAAUUGAGAAGAAAGAAAAACGGUACAAACAGGUUUGCCACCUCGGUGAGAACCCAGGCAGAAGAGCAAUAUUAAAUUGCCAAGUUAACACCACCCACUCUGCCUAUCCCACUUUCAGACUUUCAAGACUCUUGCACUGCCCUGGAGGUACUUUCCAAUUCAAAGCUGUUUUUGUAGCAUUCACCUUACUGCUCUUCUGACUUGCCCAGUUAUGAUGCAGUCGCAAUAGUCUCUCUUUUCUCAGUUUCUAGCUCUGUUUUUUGUCCCUAGGCGACUGCAGCCUUUGCACCUGGGGGCCAAUCAUGCCCUAAAUAUGAGUCCUACCCAUUUCAGACUAAGGCUCUAUCUAGUACAGUGUUCUCCCCAACAUGCUAGCUUUCCACGUGCAAGGAUUUAAUUUUGUACAGAAGAGCAUCUGAGCCCACACGUGCCAUCUGAAGUGGUAUAACCCAGACACAAAUCUGCCACCUCAGUGAAAACUAGAUCUCUGUGUCUACGUAUUCUAGGAGAACAUGUGUUUAUUUUCAAAAAGAUAACCCUCCGCAAACUGUAGAAGUCUUUUAAAAACAGGUGUUAUGAGAACCAAAAAAAUUAUUUAAAAAAAUGUCUAGUCAAGCAACAUUUUUUUUAAAAUCAUGCAAAUUUGAACAAUCCAAAAUGCUAUUUUUCUCUUGGUUUAUUUGCAAUGCUGAUACACAUACAUUUUAUGGAGCAAUACCUUUC